CUUAUCAUGCAGUCGUACGAGAGUUUUAACUUAAGUGGCGGACGGGUGAGUAACACGUAAGAAUUUGCCUUUAGGAGGGGGAUAACAAUGGUAAACCGUUGCUAAUACCCCAUAUGCUUUCGAGUAAAAUGGUUUUCCGCCUAAAGAGAAGCUUGCGGCUGAUUAGCUUGUUGGUGAGGUAAUGGCUCACCAAGGCGACGAUCAGUAUCUGGUUUGAGAGGACGAUCAGACACACUGGAACUGAGACACGGUCCAGACUCCUGCGGGAGGCAGCAGUGGGGAAUUUUCCGCAAUGGGCGAAAGCCUGACGGAGCAAUACCGCGUGAGGGAUGACGGCCUAUGGGUUGUAAACUUCUUUUUUCAGGGAGGAAUGAAAUGACGUGUACCUGAAGAAUAAGCAUCGGCUAACUCCGUGCCAGCAGCCGCGGUAAGACGGAGGAUGCAAGUGUUAUCCGGAAUCACUGGGCGUAAAGCGUCUGUAGGUGGUCAAAUAAGUCAACUGUUAAAUCU
rnacentral:rRNA from 1 species